rnacentral:pre_miRNA from 1 species
CCCUCAUUGUACAUGCUGUGUGUAUUUCUGUUGGGUACACAGCGCAUGCAAUGUGGACA